AUUGAACGCUGGCGGCAGGCCUAACACAUGCAAGUCGAACGAGUGGCGGACGGGUGAGUAAUGUCUGGGAAACUGCCCGAUGGAGAGGGAUAACUACUGGAAACGGUAGCUAAUACCGCAUACCAUCAGAUGUGCCCAGAUUGGAUUAGAUAGUAGGUGGUGUAACGGCGCACCUAGGCGACGAUCCCUAGCUGGUCUGAGAGGAUGACCAGCCACACGGGAACUGAGACAAGGUCCAGAAUCCUACGGGAGGCAGCAGGGGGGAAUAUUGCACAAUGGGCGCAAGCCUGAUGCAGCCAUGCCGCGUGUAUGAAGAAGGCCUUCGGGUUGUAAAGUACUUUCAGCGAGGAGGCGUUACUCGCAGAAGAAGCACCGGCUAACUCCGUGCCAGCAGCCGCGGUAAUUC
rnacentral:rRNA from 1 species